UACGUGAGGGGCGAACGUUGUUCGGUGUCACUGGGCUUAAAGGGCGCGUAGGUGGUUGCGUAAGUAACGUGUGAAAUACCUCGGCUUACCCGGGGAAUUGCAUGUUAUACUGCGUGGCUUGAGGAUCAGAGGGGAAUGGGGAACUCCAGGUGUAGCGGUGAAAUGCGUAGAUAUCUGGAGGAACACCGAUGGCGAAGGCGGCAUCCUGGACCGACACUGACACUGAGGAGCGAAAGCCAGGGGAGCAAACGGG
rnacentral:rRNA from 1 species